GACGAACGCUGGCGGCGUGCUUAACACAUGCAAGUCGAACGGAAAGGCCCUGCUUUUGUGGGGUGCUCGAGUGGCGAACGGGUGAGUAACACGUGAGUAACCUGCCCUUGACUUUGGGAUAACUUCAGGAAACUGGGGCUAAUACCGGAUAGGAGCUCCUGCUGCAUGGUGGGGGUUGGAAAGUUUCGGCGGUUGGGGAUGGACUCGCGGCUUAUCAGCUUGUUGGUGGGGUAGUGGCUUACCAAGGCUUUGACGGGUAGCCGGCCUGAGAGGGUGACCGGCCACAUUGGGACUGAGAUACGGCCCAGACUCCUACGGGAGGCAGCAGUGGGGAAUAUUGCACAAUGGGCGGAAGCCUGAUGCAGCAACGCCGCGUGCGUGAUGACGGCCUUCGGGUUGUAAACCUCUUUCGCCUGUGACGAAGCGUGAGUGACGGUAAUGGGUAAAGAAGCACCGGCUAACUACGUG
rnacentral:rRNA from 1 species